GCUCACCUACGGGGCGCAGCAGUAGGGAAUCUUCCACAAUGGGCGAAAGCCUGAUGGAGCAACGCCGCGUGGGUGAAGAAGGUCUUCGGAUCGUAAAACCCUGUUGUUAGAGAAGAAAGUGCGUGAGAGUAACUGUUCACGUUUCGACGGUAUCUAACCAGAAAGCCACGGCUAACUACGUGCCAGCAGCCGCGGUAAUACGUAGGUGGCAAGCGUUAUCCGGAUUUAUUGGGCGUAAAGAGAACGCAGGCGGUCUUUUAAGUGUGAUGUUAAAGCCUUCGGCCUAACCGGAGUAGUGCAUUGGA
rnacentral:rRNA from 1 species